AUACCUUUCCGACCUAUUGGCUUAAGGACAAUCAUAGUAUCUGUUCUUAUGAGUUUGAUGUCUGAUGAUAUGUGGUCUAUUGGAUGACACGAUACUAAUUUUAUCUCUUUAAUGGGGGAGGUCCCACUACAGUAGCUUGCUACUGAGGUCCUCAAGUGUCACCUCUGCAUUACCUUUAUGCAAAGGUUCGGCGCAGCUCUA